rnacentral:rRNA from 1 species
CCUACGAGGGGCAGCAGUCGAGAAUCAUUCACAAUGGGGGAAACCCUGAUGGUGCGACGCCGCGUGGGGGAAUGAAGGUCUUCGGAUUGUAAACCCCUGUCAUGCGGGAGCAAAUUAAAAAGAUAGUACCACAAGAGGAAGAGACGGCUAACUCUGUGCCAGCAGCCGCGGUAAUACAGAGGUCUCAAGCGUUGUUAGGACUCACUGGGCGUAAAGCGUGCGUAGGAUGUUUCGUAAGUCGUGGGUGAAAGGCGCGGGCUCAACCCGCGGACGGCACAUGAUACUGCGAGACUAGAGUGAUGGAGGGGGAACCGGAAUUCUCGGUGUAGCAGUGAAAUGCGUAGAUAUCGAGAGGAACACUCGUGGCGAAGGCGGGUUCCUGGACAUUAGCUGACGCUGAGGCACGAAGGCCAGGGGAGCGAAAGGGAUUAGAUACCCCUGUAGUC